UAAGCAGGAUGAACGAUCGCGGCCCCGCGUGCGGGGGUGAGGAAAGUCCGGGCUUCACAGGGCAGGAUGCCGGAUAACGUCCGGUGGAGGUGACUCCCAGGCCAGUGCAACAGAAAAGAAACCGCCGGUUUUACCGGUAAGGGUGGAAUGGCGGUGUAAGAGACCACCGCACCUUUGGUAACAAAGGUGGCUGUGUAAACCCCAUCCGAAGCAAGACAAAUAGGGAACUAUGGGUGCCCUGCCCGUUCCCAGGUAAGUCGCUUGAGGCUGUCGGUAACGGCAGUCCUAGAUAGAUGAUCGUUCCAGACAUAACCCGGCUUACAGUUCUGCUUACAAC
rnacentral:RNase_P_RNA from 1 species